rnacentral:rRNA from 1 species
AACGAACGCUGGCGGCAUGCCUAACACAUGCAAGUCGAACGAGACCUUCGGGUCUAGUGGCGCACGGGUGCGUAACGCGUGGGAAUCUGCCCUCUGGUACGGAAUAACUCAGGGAAACUUGAGCUAAUACCGUAUAAUGACUCCGGUCCAAAGAUUUAUCGCCUGAGGAUGAGCCCGCGUAGGAUUAGCUAGUUGGUGAGGUAAAAGCUCACCAAGGCGACGAUCCUUAGCUGGUCUGAGAGGAUGAUCAGCCACACUGGGACUGAGGCACGGCCCAGACUCCUACGGGAGGCAGCAGUGGGGAAUAUUGGACAAUGGGCGCAAGCCUGAUCCAGCAAUGCCGCGUGAGUGAUGAAGGCCUUAGGGUUGUAAAGCUCUUUUACCCGGGAUGAUAAUGACAGUACCGGGAGAAUAAGCCCCGGCUAACUCCGUGCCAGCCGCCGCAGUAAGAC